AUUGAACGCUGGCGGCAGGCCUAACACAUGAAAGUCGAACGAGUGGCGGACGGGUGAGUAAUGUCUGGGAAACUGCCUGAUUGAGGGGGAUAACUACUGGAAACGGUAGCUAAUACCGCAUACCAUCAGAUGUGCCAAGAUGGGAUUAGCUUGUUGGGGGGGUAACGGCGCACAAAGGCGACGAUACCUAGCUGGUCUGAGAGGAUGACCAGCCACACUGGAACUGAGACACGGUCCAGACUCCUACGUGAGGCAGCAGUGGGGAAUAUUGCACAAUGGGCGCAAGCCUGAUACAGCCAUGCCGCGUGUAUGAAGAAGGCCUUCGGGUUGUAAAGGACUUUCAGCGGGGAGGCGUUACCCGCAGAAGAAGCACCGGCUAACUCCGUGCCAGCAGCGGCGGUAAUUC
rnacentral:rRNA from 1 species